rnacentral:misc_RNA from 1 species
CCAAUAGCGUAUAUUAAAGUUGUUGCAGUUAAAAAGCUCGUAGUUGAAUUUCGGGGUUAGUAGGUUGGUCAUGCCUCUGGUAUGUACUGGUCUCACUGAUUCCUCCUUCCUGAUGAGCCGUAAUGCCAUUAAUUUGGUGUUGCGGGGAAUUUGGACUGUUACUUUGAAAAAAUUAGAGUGUUUAAAGCAAGCUAACGCUUGAAUACAUUAGCAUGGAAUAAUGAAAUAGGACGUUCGAUCCUAUUUUGUUGGUUUCUAGGAUUGACGUAAUGAUUAAUAGGGAUAGGUGGGGGCAUUAGUAUUCAAUUGUCAGAGGUGAAAUUCUUGGAUUUAUUGAAGACUAACUACUGCGAAAGCAUUUGCCAAGGAUGUUUUCAUUAAUCAAGAACGAAAGUUAGGGGAUCGAAGACGAUCAGAUACCGUCGUAGUCUUAACCAUAAACUAUGCCGACUAGGGAUCGGAUGAUGUUAAUUUUUUAAUGACUCAUUCGGCGCCUUACG